GGCCUUCCUUGCCAAUGGCCUAGUGGUUAGAGCGUCCGCUUCGGAUGCGGGAUGUCUUGGGUUCUAUCCCCGGUCGAGUCA